CCUAGCUCAAUUGGUAGAGCAACUGACUUGUAAUCAGUAGGUUGGGGGUUCAAGUCCUCUGGCCGGCACCA
rnacentral:tRNA from 1 species